rnacentral:rRNA from 1 species
AACGAACGCUGGCGGCAGGCUUAACACAUGCAAGUCGAGCGCCCCGCAAGGGGAGCGGCAGACGGGUGAGUAACGCGUGGGAACGUACCCUUUGCUACGGAAUAGCUCCGGGAAACUGGAAUUAAUACCGUAUGUGCCCUACGGGGGAAAGAUUUAUCGGCAAAGGAUCGGCCCGCGUUGGAUUAGCUAGUUGGUGGGGUAAUGGCCUACCAAGGCGACGAUCCAUAGCUGGUCUGAGAGGAUGAUCAGCCACAUUGGGACUGAGACACGGCCCAAACUCCUACGGGAGGCAGCAGUGGAGAAUAUUGGACAAUGGGCGCAAGCCUGAUCCAUCCAUGCCGCGUGAGUGAUGAAGGCCUUAGGGUUGUAAAGCUCUUUCACCGGAGAAGAUAAUGACGGUAUCCGGAGAAGAAGCCCCGGCUAACUUCGUGCCAGCCGCCGCGGUAAAAC